rnacentral:rRNA from 1 species
UACGUAAGGUGCAAGCGUUGUCCGGAAUUAUUGGGCGUAAAGAGCUCGUAGGCGGUUCGUCGCGUCGGCUGUGAAAUCCCGAGGCUCAACCUCGGGUCUGCAGUCGAUACGGGCGGACUGGAGUACUGCAGGGGAGACUGGAAUUCCUGGUGUAGCGGUGAAAUGCGCAGAUAUCAGGAGGAACACCGGUGGCGAAGGCGGAUCUCUGGGCCAUUGACUGACGCUGAGGAGCGAAAGCGUGGGGAGCGAACAGG